rnacentral:rRNA from 1 species
CGGACUGGUGAGUAACGCGUGAGGAACCUGCCUUUCGGAGGGGGACAACAGUUGGAAACGACUGCUAAUACCGCAUGACGUAUCGGGAUCGCAUGGUCUUGAUACCAAAGAUUUUAUCGCCGAAAGAUGGCCUCGCGUCUGAUUAGCUAGUUGGUGGGGUAACGGCCUACCAAGGCGACGAUCAGUAGCCGGACUGAGAGGUUGGCCGGCCACAUUGGGACUGAGAUACGGCCCAGACUCCUACGGGAGGCAGCAG